GAAAUCUUAGAAAUCAUUAUAUUUGAAAAUCCUGUUCGUAUAUUCAGAGAAAAAAGAAACCUUUAUUUUAGUAAAAACCAUGUUUUCAGCCAAUCGUUGCAUAUAAAGAGUUAAAACAAAAAUCCAAAUCCAAAAUAAAACAAAACAGUCCGUAGAGUCCCUUAAUUACAAAACUCCCAGAUAUAAUCCUUAAUUAAAUUUAAACCAUUAAUCAAAAAUAGUUCACAAAAU
rnacentral:lncRNA from 1 species